rnacentral:rRNA from 1 species
UAAGGUGAUUAUAGCGAUGGGGCUCACCUCUUACCAUUCCGAACAGAGAAGUUAAGCCCAUUUGCGCCGAUGGUACUGCAUUGUGGGAGAGUAGGUCGUCGCCUUUUUUGAAAACCCUUCAUAGAAAUAUGAAGGGUUUUUUUGUUUU